rnacentral:lncRNA from 1 species
GUGGUUCGUAAUGGCAGACAAAGGUAAAGAGGUGAGUGACAAUGGCCGAUCCUUGCUAGAGCUGGGUGGUGGGGAAGAUUCUUGGGCUCAUCUAGCUCAGGGACUGCCAUGGCGGUCCUAGUGGAUAGAGCACAAGAUAACACUAGAGGAAGUGGAGCAACUCUAGUGGUUCUUCACCAAAGUGCUUGAGUUCUCAGAGGAGA